rnacentral:RNase_P_RNA from 2 species
GGCCUCUCCCUCUGGCCUCGCGUACCUGGCUACACAAGACUGCGCUCUGCAGUUCGAAUCCAGGUGGGAAAUUCGGUGGUUCUCUUCUCUCUAUAACGACCCUUGGGCCGUGUCUCGUGAGAGUGCCAUGUGGAAACAUGGAACAGCGUCAUCAGAAAAAACACUGGGGCCGUUGUAAAAGGCGGGCCUGGUAUGGAAGUGCGCUGCGGGAGAUUGACGUAAGUCUUUAGUGCAAUGCGUGGCCUACCCACGGGUAGAACUCGAUACCGAUCACUGGGGGAGAGGUU